rnacentral:tRNA from 1 species
CAGAGUAUAGCUUAAAUUAAAGCCCCCCGCUUACACCGAACUGAUGUUCGCUAACCCCGAACUACUCUGAG